AAAGACUAAUGUAUUAUUAUAGGCUCAUAGUACACAGACUUGAGAUACAUAUUGAAAAUAAAAUACCAUCUCUAAGCAAUCUACAGAAUCAGAACCUCCGUCAAUGAACCUGCCUAAAUAAGUCGUCUGGGUCGCCAUAAGAUAUGUCCAGAUCAUACCAAUGGUAAAGAUCACCUAAUUGUUCAGCUCGCCACAAGAUAUAUCCAAUUCAUACCAGCGGGAAAAAUCACCUGAUUGUUCUGCAACUAAUUUAACGCUACAGUGGAAUGAACACGUUAGUGAUAUGACCGUCCUCUUCCACGACCACGCCAACUCCUACCACCUCUUCCACUGCUUCUUCCACUAUCAUAGAUACCCGAAAAUGCCUUGUUAACCAGCUGGUGUUGCGUACCACCGGCUCCUCGGCCUUUUUUUAAAGGGUUAUUGUUUGACCCAUUUGUCGUAGCAGCCGGUCGCUUCUGACCUGCAACAGUAGCAGUUGAAGGACCUGAAGGCUUCGCAGCUUCUUUCCAUGACAAAUUUGUUUUUUGAUCGCCUAUAAAUUUUGGUGUUUUUGCAUUCAAUGGCUGGGUCAUUGCUAAUAUAUUGUUGCAAGCUCGGAGCGCAAAGGUAGCAUUAAGCUUUUGGGUUUUAAUAGCAUCCUUUUCUUCUUCUGUUUUAGCAGCAGCAAGAGCUUUAUUUUGAUCUGCCAUCCCUUGGGUUAAUUUCUUGAUCAUAGCCCUGGCCAAAUCCUCAACUGUGCUUAAUCUCUCAGUAAAGUCCUUAUAUUGCUCCGAGAAAUCCUCCCCCAGUCUAUCUGAUGGUUGUCCAGUGACAAUCUUGUACCCACAGAGACUGUUUGUGGCAUUUGGAGUCUUGUGAGCUAAAUGGUGGAAGGUAUACAAUAGACACUCGAUACAUGUGUAGUUAAUUUCUUCAAUCUUUCUUCGAACCAUAUAUUUCUUUAAUAGCUGAACUACAGAUGGAAGCAGCUGUCGAGAAUCCUGAGUCGUUGCACAAAGUGAGCACUCGGCGAGGUUCUUGAGCAAGUCCAACUUCCCUUGUUCUGGAAGCUUGUCAAAAACAGGCAUGAUUUGCUUGUUCAGAUAGUUGAGG
rnacentral:misc_RNA from 1 species